rnacentral:rRNA from 1 species
UACAGAGGUCUCAAGCGUUGUUCGGAUUCAUUGGGCGUAAAGGGCGCGUAGGCGGCGCGGUAAGUCGGGUGUGAAAUCUCGGAGCUUAACUCCGAAACUGCAUUCGAUACUGCCGUGCUUGAGGACUGGAGAGGAGACUGGAAUUUACGGUGUAGCGGUGAAAUGCGUAGAGAUCAUGAGGAAGACCAGUGGCGAAGGCGGGUCUCUGGACAGUUCCUGACACUGAGACACGAAGGCCAGGGGAGCAAACGGG